rnacentral:lncRNA from 1 species
GACAUAGUAGGUUUCCUUCAGAGGCUUAUGGCAUGAGACCCCCAUGGGCGACACUAAAUUCGAAUGAAUGGAAACAGUGGUUGGCUACAGCUGUGGCAUUAUGACCAGAGCCUGGAUGAUUUCUAUGAUGAUGAUGAAGAAGAGGGGGAUGGGGAAGGGGGGAAAGGAGCCAGGGGUAGGAGUAAGAGUAAGAGCCAGAAUAACCUCUGUGGUCUCUGGAAAUCCCUUCUGUCAGUCCUCUAGAACUCGGUCUAGCCCUAGUCCUAGCCCCCCACCCAGACUUUGGUCCAGCCCCAGCCCCCCCCCCUCAUCAGCUGUCCUCCCAGCCCUCUUGGCCCAUCCCUACUCCAACUGGAGAUGCCCCAGAAGCUGCUGCUCACUGAGGAGGAAGCUGACCCGAUUGGCAGAAGAGCUUGUGGCUGAGGAGGAACGAGCAAAUCGAGGAGCAGAAAAGAAACGGCUAAAGAAGAAGAUUGAGAGGUUGAGAACCGCUGUUCUAUUGGAUGUUUCUAACCAGGUGAUAGAAGAGGCUGCAGUCGCAGCAGGCCCAGCAGCAGAGGCAAGCAACUUUAACUCCAGUCCCCAAAGCCCUAGUCAAGGGAGCAGCAAUGAGGAAGAAGAAUUGGAUUUGUCAAGCACCUUCGUGUCUCAAGCCCCUCACAAGGUUGGUGACUGGCCUCCCAAUACCCAGAAAGAGAAAGUGUUGAUCCCUGAGCCUCCAGCCUUGAACUCGCAGAGCCAGAGCCCACAGGAAGGGAGCAGGAGCCAGAGUCCUCAGCUAGAGAUUUGGCCCCCGACCAUUUAUCCUUCCGGUCCCAGUUCCUGUUCGAUUACCUUCAGUUCAGCACCUUCAAUUGCCAAAAACCUGGUGAGACAACUCCUCUAA